rnacentral:rRNA from 1 species
AUUGAACGCUGGCGGCAGGCCUAACACAUGCAAGUCGAACGAGUGGCGGACGGGUGAGUAAUGUCUGGGAAACUGCCCGAUGGAGGGGGAUAACUACUGGAAACGGUAGCUAAUACCGCAUACCAUCGGAUGUGCCCAGAUGGGAUUAGCUAGUAGGGGGGGUAACGGCUCACCUAGGCGACGAUCCCUAGCUGGUCUGCAAGGAGGACCAGCAAAACUGGAACUGAGACACGGUCCAGACUCCUACGGGAGGCAGAAGUGGGGAAUAUUGCACAAUGGGCGCAAGCCUGAGGCAGCCAUGCCGCGUGUAGGAAGAAGGCUUUCGGGUUGUAAAGUACUUUCAGCGGGGAGGCGUUACUCGCAGAAGAAGCACCGGCUAACUCCGUGCCAGCAGCCGCGGUAAUUC